rnacentral:rRNA from 1 species
GGUCAAGCGAAUAAGCGCACACGGUGGAUGCCUUGGCGGUCAGAGGCGAUGAAGGACGUGGCAGCCUGCGAAAAGUAUCGGGGAGCUGGCAACAAGCUUUGAUCCGGUAAUGUCCGAAUGGGGAAACCCACCCGCUUGCGGGUAUCCUGCAGUGAAUACAUAGCUGCUGGAAGCGAACCUGGUGAACUGAAAUAUCUAAGUAACCAGAGGAAAAGAAAUCAACCGAGAUUCCGUAAGUAGCGACGAGCGAACGCGGACUAGCCCUUAAGCUGGAUUGGUUCUAGGAAAACGCUCUGGAAAGAGCGGCCAUAGAAGGUGAUAGCCCUGUAUCUGAAAGGGCCAUUCCAGUGAAGACGAGUAGGGCGGGGCACGUGAAACCCUGUCUGAACAUGGGGGGACCAUCCUCCAAGGCUAAAUACUACUGACCGACCGAUAGUGAACCAGUACCGUGAGGGAAAGGCGAAAAGAACCCCGGAGAGGGGAGUGAAAUAGAACCUGAAACCGUGUGCGUACAAGCAGUAGGAGCUCCGCAAGGAGUGACUGCGUACCUUUUGUAUAAUGGGUCAGCGACUUACUGUUCGUGGCAAGCUUAACCGUAUAGGGGAGGCGAAGGGAAACCGAGUCUGAUAAGGGCGCAUAGUCGCGGGCAGUAGACCCGAAACCGGGUGAUCUAGUCAUGCCCAGGGUGAAGGUGCGGUAACACGCACUGGAGGCCCGAACCCACUCCCGUUGCAAAGGUAGGGGAUGAGGUGUGAUUAGGAGUGAAAAGCUAAUCGAACCCGGAGAUAGCUGGUUCUCCUCGAAAGCUAUUUAGGUAGCGCCUCAUAUGUAUCCUCUCGGGGGUAGAGCACUGUUAUGGCUAGGGGGUCAUCGCGACUUACCAAACCAUUGCAAACUCCGAAUACCGAGACGGACUGUAUGGGAGACACACGGCGGGUGCUAACGUCCGUCGUGAAAAGGGAAACAACCCAGACCCACAGCUAAGGUCCCAAAUUCACUGCUAAGUGGAAAACCAUGUGGAAAGGCACAGACAGCCAGGAGGUUGGCUUAGAAGCAGCCACCCUUUAAAGAAAGCGUAAUAGCUCACUGGUCGAGUCGGUCUGCGGGGAAGAUUUAACGGGGCUAAGCAGUGAACCGAAGCUUGGGGUGCAUAACUUUGUUAUGCGCGGUAGAGGAGCGUUCCGUAAGCCGUUGAAGGUGGAUUGAGAAGUCUGCUGGAGGUAUCGGAAGUGCGAAUGCUGACAUGAGUAACGAUAAUGCGGGUGAAAAACCCGCACGCCGAAAGCCCAAGGUUUCCUUGCGCAACGUUAAUCGGCGCAGGGUGAGUCGGCCCCUAAGGCGAGGACGAAAGUCGUAGUCGAUGGGAAGCAGGUUAAUAUUCCUGCACCUCGCGUAAGUGCGAUGGAGGGACGGAGAAGGUUAGGUGUACCAGGCGUUGGUUGUCCUGGGGAAAGGCGGUAGGUUUGGAUCUUUGGCAAAUCCGGGAUCCUCUAAGACCGAGCACCGAGACGAGCCUUUAAGGCGAAGUCACUGAUACCACGCUUCCAGGAAAAGCUCCUAAGCUUCAGCUUACGCAGACCGUACCGUAAACCGACACAGGUGGGUAGGAUGAGAAUUCUCAGGCGCUUGAGAGAACUCGGGUGAAGGAACUAGGCAACAUGGCACCGUAACUUCGGGAGAAGGUGCACCCUUUUUGGUGGCUCGUGCGAGCUAUAGCUGAAGAGGGUCGCAGUAACCAGGCCGCUGCGACUGUUUAUCAAAAACACAGCACUCUGCAAACACGAAAGUGGACGUAUAGGGUGUGACGCCUGCCCGGUGCUGGAAGGUUAAUUGAUGGGGUCAGCCGCAAGGCGAAGCUCUUGAUCGAAGCCCCAGUAAACGGCGGCCGUAACUAUAACGGUCCUAAGGUAGCGAAAUUCCUUGUCGGGUAAGUUCCGACCUGCACGAAUGGCGUAACGACAGCGGCGCUGUCUCCACCCGAGACUCAGUGAAAUUGAAAUCGCUGUGAAGAUGCAGCGUUCCCGUGGCAAGACGGAAAGACCCCGUGAACCUUUACUAUAGCUUUACACUGAACGUUGAGUUCGUCUGUGUAGGAUAGGUGGGAGGCUAUGAAACCAUGGCGCUAGCUGUGGUGGAGCCAUCCUUGAAAUACCACCCUGUCGUGCUUGACGUUCUAACCUGGGCCCAUUAUCUGGGUCGGGGACCGUGUAUGGUGGGUAGUUUGACUGGGGCGGUCUCCUCCUAAAGAGUAACGGAGGAGCUCGAAGGUACGCUCAGCGCGGUCGGACAUCGCGCACUGUGUGCAAAGGCAUAAGCGUGCUUGACUGCAAGAUCGACGGAUCAAGCAGGUAGGAAACUAGGACUUAGUGAUCCGGUGGUUCUGUAUGGAAGGGCCAUCGCUCAACGGAUAAAAGGUACUCCGGGGAUAACAGGCUGAUACCGCCCAAGAGUUCAUAUCGACGGCGGUGUUUGGCACCUCGAUGUCGGCUCAUCACAUCCUGGGGCUGUAGUCGGUCCCAAGGGUAUGGCUGUUCGCCAUUUAAAGUGGUACGCGAGCUGGGUUCAGAACGUCGUGAGACAGUUCGGUCCCUAUCUGCCAUGGGCGUUGGAGAUUUGAGAGGGGCUGCUCCUAGUACGAGAGGACCGGAGUGGACGAACCUCUGGUGUUCCGGUUGUCACGCCAGUGGCAUUGCCGGGUAGCUAUGUUCGGAAGCGAUAACCGCUGAAAGCAUCUAAGCGGGAAGCGCGCCUCAAGAUGAGAUCUCCCGGGGCACAAGCCCCCUGAAGGAACCAUGUAGACUACGUGGUUGAUAGGUCAGGUGUGUAAGUACAGCAAUGUAUUGAGCUAACUGAUACUAAUGAUCCGUGCGGCUUGACCAU